rnacentral:rRNA from 1 species
CUUGCUGGAUAUGAAAGUGGCGCACGGGUGCGUAACGCGUAUGCAACCUACCUUUAUCUGGGGGAUAGCCCGGAGAAAUCCGGAUUAAUACCGCAUAAAAUCACAGGAUGGCAUUAUCCAAUGAUCAAACAUUUAUGGGAUGAAGAUGGGCAUGCGUGUCAUUAGCUAGUUGGCGGGGUAACGGCCCACCAAGGCGACGAUGACUAGGGGAUCUGAGAGGAUGGCCCCCCACACUGGUACUGAGACACGGACCAGACUCCUACGGGAGGCAGCAGUAAGGAAUAUUGGUCAAUGGAGGCAACUCUGAACCAGCCAUGCCGCGUGCAGGAAGACUGCCCUAUGGGUUGUAAACUGCUUUUAUCCGGGAAUAAACCUGCUUACGUGUAAGUAGCUGAAUGUACCGGAAGAAUAAGGAUCGGCUAACUCCGUGCCAGCAGCCGCGGUAAUACGGAGGAUCCAAGCGUUAUCCGGAUUUAUUGGGUUUAAAGGGUGCGUAGGCGGCCUGUUAAGUCAGGGGUGAAAGACGGUAGCUCAACUAUCGCAGUGCCCUUGAUACUGAUGGGCUUGAAUGGACUAGAGGUAGGCGGAAUGAGACAAGUAGCGGUGAAAUGCAUAGAUAUGUCUCAGAACACCGAUUGCGAAGGCAGCUUACUAUGGUCUUAUUGACGCUGAGGCACGAAAGCGUGGGGAUCAAACAGGAUUAGAUACCCUGGUAGUCCACGCCCUAAACGAUGAACACUCGCUGUUGGCGAUACACAGUCAGCGGCUAAGCGAAAGCGUUAAGUGUUCCACCUGAGGAGUACGCUCGCAA